AGUUAUUAAGAAAGUGUAACAGUUUGUAAAUUAUUUGUAAUUGUAAUAUAUAAAAUAUAGAAUAAUUAUAAUAUACACAUAUACCAUUAUGCAUACAUAUCGAUUAAGUAAUUAUAUUUCUCUCACUGUUGUUUGUAGAGAGAAGUUCUUUCUAUGCCACCGCUCUGUCAGCUUUUCUAUAUCCUGCCCCUCUGGGCAUGGAGAGUCUUUCUUCGCUGUUGGCCUUUUGGUGGAAUCAAUUAUGAGCCCCCUCUACCUUAAGAUUUGCAAAGACGUGGUGGGGAUAGCUCGUGGAACACCAUUUGAAAGGUUCGAAUGGGAAGCUAAAGAGUGAUAUCAUCUCCAUCUUCGUCGACACUAACAAUAUAUGUUCAAAUCCACCUUUUUCUUAGUCGUCUCUUGCCUCUUUGGUGUUGAGUACCCUUUUUGUUCCAUCAGAAUAACACCCCUUGGCUCGAGACCUUGUGUCCCCUCCGGUAGGUAGCAAACGGUGCUUCUCCUAGGCUUCAGUUUAUUUUCUCAACCAGAUAUGACUUCUGCACAUGAGCAUCAUUUUGCUUAGAUCUUGUGGAUGCAUGUGGUUUGAUUGGUGCAAGGGUUCUUCCUUCUAGUCAACGAUCUUCAGUUUGUUCUCCUUUAGGCUUAAGUGAGCAUUUUUUGGUUUUUUCAACUGAUUUAGCAGGAGAUCUUUCAUUGUCAUUUUUGUUCUUUCGCUUUUCACGCGAUUGGUGCUUUUUCAGAAGGUGAGCAACCUGGGUUUCUUAACUCAAUUGAUUCUCUCUCUAGGCCGAGUGAACUCAGGGUCUUAGGGUUUUUUCUUUGGGC